UAAAUGCAAAGUAUCUGGUAUCAU
rnacentral:miRNA from 1 species